UGUGGGAGCGAGCCUGCUCGCGAUGGCGUCGGUUCAUGCAGCACUUUUCAAACUGACCCACCGCUAUCGCGAGCAGGCUCGCUCCCACA
rnacentral:misc_RNA from 1 species